GCUCCCUGAUGUUAGCGGCGGACGGGUGAGUAACACGUGGGUAACCUGCCUGUAAGACUGGGAUAACUCCGGGAAACCGGGGCUAAUACCGGAUGGUUGUUUGAACCGCAUGGUUCAAACAUAAAAGGUGGCUUCGGCUACCACUUACAGAUGGACCCGCGGCGCAUUAGCUAGUUGGUGAGGUAACGGCUCACCAAGGCGACGAUGCGUAGCCGACCUGAGAGGGUGAUCGGCCACACUGGGACUGAGACACGGCCCAGACUCCUACGGGAGGCAGCAGUAGGGAAUCUUCCGCAAUGGACGAAAGUCUGACGGAGCAACGCCGCGUGAGUGAUGAAGGUUUUCGGAUCGUAAAGCUCUGUUGUUAGGGAAGAACAAGUACCGUUCGAAUAGGGCGGUACCUUGACGGUACCUAACCAGAAAGCCACGGCUAACUACGUGCCAGCAGCCGCGGUAAUACGUAGGUGGCAAGCGUUGUCCGGAAUUAUUGGGCGUAAAGGGCUCGCAGGCGGUUUCUUAAGUCUGAUGUGAAAGCCCCCGGCUCAACCGGGGAGGGUCAUUGGAAACUGGGGAACUUGAGU
rnacentral:rRNA from 1 species